GAUGAACGCUAGCGAUAGGCUUAACACAUGCAAGUCGAGGGGCAGCACAAGGUAGCUUGCUCUCUGGGUGGCGACCGGCGCACGGGUGCGUAACGCGUAUGCAACUUGCCCUAUACAGGAGGAUAACCCGUCGAAAGACGGACUAAUACUGCGUAUGCUCACAACUUGGCAUCAAGUGGUGAGGAAAGAAAUUCGGUAUAGGAUAGGCAUGCGUCCCAUUAGCUUGUUGGAGAGGUAACGGCUCACCAAGGCAACGAUGGGUAGGGGAACUGAGAGGUUUAUCCCCCACACUGGUACUGAGACACGGACCAGACUCCUACGGGAGGCAGCAGUGAGGAAUAUUGGUCAAUGGGCGCGAGCCUGAACCAGCCAAGUCGCGUGAAGGAUGACUGUCUUAUGGAUUGUAAACUUCUUUUAUACGGGAAUAACAAGAGUCACGUGUGACUCCCUGCAUGUACCGUAUGAAUAAGCAUCGGCUAACUCCGUG
rnacentral:rRNA from 1 species